rnacentral:rRNA from 1 species
AGCAGCCGCGGUAAUUCCAGCUCCAAUAGCGUAUAUUAAAGUUGUUGCAGUUAAAAGCUCGUAGUUGAAUUUCGGGAUCAGUAUGUUGGUCGUGCUUCGGUACGUACUGUCAUUACUGGUUUCUACCUUCUGAAGAACCUUGAUGUCAUUAAUUUGGUGUCUUGGGGAAUCAGGACUGUUACUUUGAAAAAAUUAGAGUGUUUAAAGCAAGCAUACGCUUGAAUACAUUAGCAUGGAAUAAUGAAAUAGGACGUUUGAUUCUAUUUUGUUGGUUUCUAGGAUCGACGUAAUGAUUAAUAGGGAUAGUUGGGGGGCAUUAGUAUUCAAUUGUCAGAGGUGAAAUUCUUGGAUUUAUUGAAGACUAACUACUGCGAAAGCAUUUGCCAAGGAUGUUUUCAUUAAUCAAGAACGAAAGUUAGGGGAUCGAAGACGAUCAGAUACCGUCGUAGU